rnacentral:rRNA from 1 species
UUCCGGCGUUGACUCCAAUUGAACCGCAGGCUUCACCCCUUGUGGUGCUCCCCCGCCAAUUCCUUUAAGUUUCAUACUUGCGUACGUACUUCCCAGGCGGCAAACUUAACGGCUUCCCUGCAGCACUGCAUUGGCCACAAGCCAAUGCAUCACUGAGUUUGCAUAGUUUACAGCUGGGACUACCCGGGUAUCUAAUCCGGUUUGCUCCCCCAGCUUUCAUCCCUCACCGUAGAACGUGUUCUGGUAGACCGCCUUCGCCACAGGUGGUCAUCAAUAGAUCAAAGGAUUUUACCCCUUCCUACCGAGUACCGUCUACCUCUCCCACUUCCUAGUUAUGCAGUAUUCCCGGCAGCCCAUACGUUAAGCGCAUGGAUUUAACCGAAAACUUACAAAACGAGCUACGGAUGCUUUAGGCCCAAUAAUCAUCCUGACCACUUGAGGUGCUGGUUUUACCGCGGCGGCUGACACCAGAACUUGCCCACCCCUUAUUCGUUAGUGUUUCUAGGACUGACAAAAGGUUUCUUUAGCAGAAACCACUCGGAUUAACCUUGUCGUGCUUUCGCACAUUGCAAAGUUUUCUCGCCUGCUGCGCCCCAUAGGGCCUGGGUCCGUGUCUCAGUACCCAUCUCCGGGCUACUCCUCUCAGAGCCCGUACCUGUAAUAGUCUUGGUGGGCCAUUACCUCACCAACAAACUGAUAGGCCGCAGUCCCAUCCUAUGGCGAUAAAUCAUUUGAAACAUAAACCAUUCCAGGCAUAAUGUUCUAUCGGGCAUUAUUCUCAGUUUCCCGAGGUUAUUCCCGUCCAUAGGGUAGAUUGACUACGCGUUACUGAGCCGUCUGCCUUGUAUUGCUACAAUGACUCGCAUGGCUUAGUAUCANUCCGAUAGCAGUCAGGUCCGGCAGGAUCACCGGAA